UACAGAGGUCUCAAGCGUUUGUUCGGAUUCAUUGGGCGUAAAGGGUGCGUAGGCGGCGCGGUAAGUCGGGGUGUGAAAUCUCGGAGCUUAACUCCGAAACUGCAUUCGAUACUGCCGUGCUUGAGGACUGGAGAGGAGACUGGAAUUUGACGGUGUAGCGGUGAAAUGCGUAGAGUAUCGUAAGGAAGACCAGUGGCGAAGGCGGGU
rnacentral:rRNA from 1 species